AUGAACGCUAGCGACAGGCUUAACACAUGCAAGUCGAGGGGCAUCACGGGAGUAGCAAUACAACUGGUGGCGACCGGCGCACGGGUGAGUAACGCGUAUGCAACCUACCUAUCAGAGGGGAAUAACCCGGCGAAAGUCGGACUAAUACCGCAUAAAACAGGGGCACCGCAUGGUGAUAUUUGUUAAAGAAAUUCGCUGAUAGAUGGGCAUGCGUUCCAUUAGGUAGUUGGUGAGGUAACGGCUCACCAAGCCGACGAUGGAUAGGGGAACUGAGAGGUUGGUCCCCCACACUGGUACUGAGACACGGACCAGACUCCUACGGGAGGCAGCAGUGAGGAAUAUUGGUCAAUGGGCGGGAGCCUGAAGCAGCCAAGUCGCGUGAAGGAAGAAGGAUCUAUGGUUCGUAAACUUCUUUUGCAGGGGAAUAAAGUGCAGGACGUGUCCUGUUUUGUAUGUACCCUGAGAAUAAGGAUCGGCUAACUCCGUGCCAGCCGCGGC
rnacentral:rRNA from 1 species